rnacentral:rRNA from 1 species
GACGAACGCUGGCGGCGUGCUUAACACAUGCAAGUCGAACGGAAAGGCCCUGCUUUUGUGGGGUGCUCGAGUGGCGAACGGGUGAGUAACACGUGAGUAACCUGCCCUUGACUUUGGGAUAACUUCAGGAAACUGGGGCUAAUACCGGAUAGGAGCUCCUGCUGCAUGGUGGGGGUUGGAAAGUUUCGGCGGUUGGGGAUGGACUCGCGGCUUAUCAGCUUGUUGGUGGGGUAGUGGCUUACCAAGGCUUUGACGGGUAGCCGGCCUGGGAGGGUGACCGGCCACAUUGGGACUGAGGUACGGCCCAGACUCCUACGGGAGGCAGCAGUGGAGAAUAUUGCACAAUGGGCGGAAGCCUGAUGCAGCAACGCCGCGUGCGGGAUGACGGCCUUCGGGUUGUAAACCGCUUUCGCCUGUGACGAAGCGUGAGUGACGGUAAUGGGUAAAGAAGCACCGGCUAACUACGUG